CAAGUCGAGCGAACGGACGAGAAGCUUGCUUCUCUGAUGUUAGCGGCGGACGGGUGAGUAACACGUGGAUAACCUACCUAUAAGACUGGGAUAACUUCGGGAAACCGGAGCUAAUACCGGAUAAUAUUUUGAACCGCAUGGUUCAAAAGGGAAAGACGGUCUUGCUGUCACUUAUAGAUGGAUCCGCGCUGCAUUAGCUAGUUGGUAAGGUAACGGCUUACCAAGGCAACGAUGCAUAGUCGACCUGAGAGGGUGAUCGGCCACACUGGAACUGAGACACGGUCCAGACUCCUACGGGAGGCAGCAGUAGGGAAUCUUCCGCAAUGGGCGAAAGCCUGACGGAGCAGCGCCGCGUGAGUGAUGAAGGUCUUCGGAUCGUAAAACUCUGUUAUUAGGGAAGAACAUAUGUGUAAGUAACUGUGCACAUCUUGACGGUACCUAAUCAGAAAGCCACGGCUAACUACGUGCCAGCAGCCGCGGUAAUACGUAGGUGGCAAGCGUUAUCCGGAAUUAUUGGGCGUAAAGCGCGCAUAGGCGGUUUUUUAAGUCUGAUGUGAAAGCCCACGGCUCAACCGUGGAGGGUCAUUGGAAACUGGAAAACUUGAGUGCAGAAGAGGAAAGUGGAAUUCCAUGUGUAGCGGUGAAAUGCGCAGAGAUAUGGAGGAACACCAGUGGCGAAGGCGACUUUCUGGU
rnacentral:rRNA from 1 species